CGAUGGACCCACGAGAGCUGCAGCUCUGCUCUAAAUGUCCCCUCAAUUGGUAUUUUUACUACAACACGAAUAAAUAUGGGCUUUAAUUUUGUGAUUUUCCAUGGAAAACUUCGAAUUUCUAGCCGUUUCCAACUUGAUUUUGCUAAAGAUUUUACAGCGACUUUAGAGCCUCGAUACUCAUAAAGGAACCUUUAUGUAUUAUGAAUUGAGUUGACGUCUGCCUUUCAAGCAUAUAUUGUAAUUAUUACGGGUUGUUAGCCAUGUUGGAUUUACAUCAAUAAUCGAAAAUGGCCGCUAAAAUAAUGUAAUUUGGCCGCUGUGAUAUCUUAAUUAAUCGUCAGACUAAAUACCCUGAACCGAGAAGCGGUUGUGAUUAUCGCUGUCAACAAAAACAAACAACAGCCAGUCCUGAAAUCAAAAUUCAAAACGCAUGUGCACUGCAUUACAUGUUUGUACGUUAGUGACCAUAACAAUUUGCUAUUUUAACUUAAAUCGAUUUCCAAUUAAACUUGACUUAAUUCAUGAAUGUGGCUUAUUGUAAGACAAAAUUGGAUUUUUGUUAAUAAAGGGCUGUGCAGUAUAAAGAAGGGCGGUGUCGCUGAAGAACUGUCUAUACACAAUAUAGCCCCUUAAAAUGCAUCGAAGAGAGCCUCAAUCCAGUACAAAUAAGGUCAUGACUGUUUCGUUUUCACCAACAGUCUAUUCGAGAUCCAAUACAUUCACGAAAGACGAACAAUUAUUGUUGCCGUUGACUACAGAAAAACUUGACAAAUCCCCACGUUCAGAUUCCCGCUUUUCGGAUGUCAGCAUUUUUUCUGAUAUCAGUUUAGAGAAUGAGCCAGGGAUAAGUUCAAUAACACCAUAUUAUCCUAAAAUGAAAUAUCCAUUUGGGGGCGGAAUGAGCAUAGGUUAUCCAGCAUAUGGUUACCCAACUUCUGAUUAUCCAGCCGAUGGAAAUUACCCAUCAUCAGAGUUUCCACCAAAUAAACCGGGUCAACGUAGACGUCAGAUUUACCCUAAUAGUCAGUUUCCAGAAAGUCGGAAUUCGAAUGAUGACGAUGAUCUGACGAUAUUCCAAUCAUACCCGGAGAUCCAGGGACAUUUUCAUGACCAUUAUCCUGAUCCAGAUCAAGACCCAGAUCCAGACCAAGAUCAAGAACAGAACCCUGGAACUGAUACGUAAUUGUUUUAAUCGGAAAAAGUCCUGGUGAGGGUGUUUGAUGUGUGUUGUGUUUUCCAUCUAAAUGUUUAAAAAUCUAGGCUGUUAUUCGUCCAAAUGGUUGUGCUUUCCAUCUUUCCAUCAAUCCUCAUACUUAUAUUGAUAUACUGAACAAUUCAAGGAUAAUAGUUCAGCAAAGUUCAAAGCAAACCCAAAGGCGACAGUUUAAUAAGUUACAUAUUUUUACAAACACGUGCUUGUAGUACAAUAUAGACGUUACAGAGUAUAUAUGUGGUUGCUGCACAAUAGACAUUCAGAGUAUAUAAACAUGUGCUUGUAGUACAAUAUACGUUACAAAAUAUAUUAACGCGUGGUUGCUGCACAAUAGACGUUAUACAGAGUAUUUAAACAUGGGCUUGUAGUACACUACACGUUACAGAGUAUAUAAACACGUGGUUGCUGCACAAUAGACAUUAUACAGAAUUUAUAAAUAUAUGCUUGUACUGUAGUACAAUAUACGUUACAGAGUAUAUAAACACGUGGUUGCUGCACAAUAGACGUUAUACAGAGUAUAUAAACAUAUGCUUGUAGUACAAUAUACGUUACAGUAUAUAAACACGUGGUUGCUGCACAAUAUACAUUAUACAAAGUAUAUAAACAUGUGCUUGUAGUACAAUAUACGUUACAGAGUAUACAUAAACUUGCUUUUUCAAUUUGUUUUUGUCAAAUAAUAUACAUGUAUAUAUUUAUUAUAAUGUUUAGCCGGUUUGCUGUUUUGUUUAUUACCCCGUCGAUUACCCAGAAUAAUUACCAUCAAAAAGAAAUAAUAAACAUUAGUACAUAUAUACAUGUAUACUAUUAAAAAUACAAAUAAAUAAAAAUAGUGAGUAUA